UACGGGGGGGGGCAAGCGUUGUUCGGAAUUACUGGGCGUAAAGGGCGCGCAGGCGGCCUUAGAAGUCAGAUGUGAAAGCCCCGGGCUCAACCUGGGAAUGGCAUUUGAUACUCUGAGGCUGGAGUUCGGUAGGGGAGACUGGAAUUCCUGGUGUAGCGGUGAAAUGCGCAGAUAUCAGGAGGAACACCGGUGGCGAAAGGCGGGGUCUCUGGGCCGAUGACUGACGCUGAGGAGCGAAAGCGUGGGGAGCGAACAGG
rnacentral:rRNA from 1 species